AUUGAACGCUGGCGGCAGGCUUAACACAUGCAAGUCGAGCGGUAGCACAGGGGAGCUUGCUCCCCGGGUGACGAGCGGCGGACGGGUGAGUAAUGUCUGGGAAACUGCCUGAUGGAGGGGGAUAACUACUGGAAACGGUAGCUAAUACCGCAUAACGUCGCAAGACCAAAGAGGGGGACCUUCGGGCCUCUUGCCAUCAGAUGUGCCCAGAUGGGAUUAGCUAGUAGGUGGGGUAAUGGCUCACCUAGGCGACGAUCCCUAGCUGGUCUGAGAGGAUGACCAGCCACACUGGAACUGAGACACGGUCCAGACUCCUACGGGAGGCAGCAGUGGGGAAUAUUGCACAAUGGGCGCAAGCCUGAUGCAGCCAUGCCGCGUGUGUGAAGAAGGCCUUCGGGUUGUAAAGCACUUUCAGCGAGGAGGAAGGUGGUGAGCUUAAUACGCUCAUCAAUUGACGUACUCGCAGAAGAGCACC
rnacentral:rRNA from 1 species